AUAAGUGAAUUUCACAAUGUUAUAAACUAUCAUAACCUCAAUUAAAAAAAAAAGUACUCUAUGCUGCUUCGCUCAGACUCUGAUAUCCAGCAAGUCUUUGUCAGGGUAGGAAGACCGUGUAAGGGACAGUGGCCUGGAAGGCAGGGUUAGGUGACUGGGGUGCUAAUACUGGCCACCUAAGAUCUACCCUGGCAUCUUAGGCAAGUCACACACUGCUUUGCAGCGCCGAAGUGCCCUUCCCAUUAUAGCUGCCAUCUCAUCAAUGAGAGAAAGCAAUCCCUUUGAAUGAGCUAGCUAGCUAAGUCUCAGUGUGCUUAAAUAAUAUAAUGCUCUGAUCUUGAUAAAAUGCCUCUCUCCCGGAGAAGCAAGGCCAUGGUGGAGAACUCAGCACUGUGGAAGGUUGGAGUGCCAGUUUCCACUGCUACAAAUCAGACUUGGAGACUCAAGGGACAGUGCUACCAUGGCCUGCUGGCUUUGAGUGGACCUGUUCACCUAUCUGGGCCUCACCAUCUCCCUCUUUAAAAGACAUUGCUUGUUAUUUUCUCAUCCGUGCUAUGCUGUUGGAUAUAUUAUUUUCAUUUUGCAAUAAGUCCCAAAGCCAGUAGAUUACUUGCGUAUUUACAGUCCCUAAAAUCAGAGUUAGUUCAACUGCUGUCCUCAUAUUGUGCUGUAUUAAACACAAGAGCUUUGGAACUAGACAGACCUGGAUUCAAAAUCUGCUUUCUCACUUCUUGGCUGUUGGACUUGGGCAAGUUGCUCCACCGCUCUGAGCCCCGGGUUGAUUUCAUCUACAAAAGGUGGUGCUAGUAGUACACAGCUCCCAGGGUAGUUAUGAGGAUUAAAUGAGAGCAUCGUGCACAGCGCUGCGCAGUGUAUGGCACAGAGAAAAUGUUCAGCGAAUGUUAGCUAUGACUGCUGCUAUCCUAUAUCUAGUUCAUCAGCCCCUUUGUGUGCCAGGAACUGUACUGGACACCGGGGCUGCAAACAUAGACAGCCGCUGCCUCAAGGAGUUCAUGAAGUAGUUGCUAUGCAGGGCUGGUUCUGAGGCAUUUGGAAAAUGUGGGGAAGACCAAUGAUCUGUCAAGCAUUAAAGAAAUGAGAGUGCUUAAAUAUUGGUGUGUGUGUGUUACUUUAAAAAAAUGAUUAGAGUGGUGUCUGGAAAGCCCAGCAAAAACCCAAUAUCUCCUAGGAAGUAUUUAACAGCUAUUUUCAGUAAGAAGUAAAUAUCAGGCUGCAAACUUUCCAGAAUGUGCUCAUACCAGAUUACCUGCAGGCCAUUGUGAAGAGAGCCGUGCAUUCCCCCAUAGGGCGAGCCUGGGCAUGAGAGGAAGGAGGAGGAAGAGACAGAGACCCAGUGGGUGAGAAGGGUAAACAGGGUCUCCUAGUGUCUAUUUGGGUCCCUAUGCUGCAGGCAACCCUCCAAGCAGGUGUGGGACCCAUCGGAGUGUGUGUAACAUCUGAAGGAGAACAUGAGAAUGUGUAGCUUACUGCCCAGAGUCAACAAAUGCUGAGAAUUUGUGUCCUGAAUCAGUUAUGAUUUAUGUUAACUUUACUGCUCUGAUCUUGGGGUAACUAUCUCAUGCUUAACAGAAUAGGGGAUGGCCAACUGACAAUUAUAAGGCAGUGAGGAAAAAAACCCAAAUGAACGCACCAAAUUUUUGUCAACAAUAAUGAUAAUAGUGAUGAUAACGACAAAUACUACCAUUUACUGAGUGAUUGCCCUGUUCCAGAUGAGUGAAUGAAAAUCCCGUUGAAUGAGAGUAGCUAUCCAUGCAGUGCUUUCAACACCACCAUACUUUGGCACAUAUUACCGUGCACUCGCUGAUGUAUCUGCCUCAUAGGAAGAGACAAGUUUAGUCAUUCUCCUGUUCCCAGUAUUGAACCCAGUGUCAGACAUACAUUCUAGGAAAAGAAACCAGGAAAAUGAGAUUUUGACAGUGUCAUUCCACACUAUGGAGAGGACUGGCUGUUCUUCUGAUAAAAACAGACACCUCUUCAGACUGGAGACACCUUCUCCAGUUACACCGGCCUGGUGGGAGGAUCCUCAUAUCCAUGAGAGCAACUUCCGGUCUGAAACCUGGCCUCCUGAGGAUGUGUGACCCCCCCAGUCAGAGUGUUCAGAGCAGGUGCACGCAAGCGCAUGGUGACCACCUCAAAGUACUGUUUUCCUGUGGCCUCGGCGUCCACAAGCCUUCUCCUUUUGUCAUCAUUAUUUGUCGUUUCCUGACACGCUAGCAAUUCAUCCAGCUAGCUUUGAGGACAGUGUUCUUUUUACCCAACUCUAAGUCUGCAGGACUGGUUCCAAACCCUCUUCUUAACCUUUCAUCAUCCUAGGCACUAAGAGAGCACAGAGUCUGCCUAGGACCCACGUAAUCCACUACCCUCUCCUGAAGCAGACACCAUGGAAAUCACAAUGAUGCAAAGAGGCAGAACUUGCCAGAGGUCAAUGACUAGAUUGGACUGUGGAUGCUGUCAAGCCAUCUUUCCCUUUCCCAAGUUCUGUUAAAUGUUUGCUACUUCCAAUAUGCCUAAAAGGGAAAAUUAAAGAAUAAUUCAAGGGGCCUAGGGACUGAAUUCCCUACCACAAAACCAUAUGGGCUUGUCCUACAUUAAAACUCCGCUAAAAAUUCAUGGUUGGUGGCCACGAUCCUUCCAUUCCUUCUACCCUCCAACCUGUCUUCCGCACUGGCUUGCUCUUACAUCGCAGACUGAAGAGGGAGCAGUUGAGCCCGAGUUCUGGGAAAUUCCUAGGGUUUGCAGGUAGGGAGGUUUCUAGUAGUUACCACCUGCCUCCCCAAGGCCAGGAGCCUCCCCUCCAGCUUCAUCACUUUCACCCAACCCCAGGGCUCCACGCGCUUUGGAGGGAUUGCUAUAAAUGGUCAUCAAGGGGAAGCGGCCAGAAUGCCAAGAGCUACAAGCCUGACAGAGCUUGUGUAUCAGCCUGACAGCUUCAAUAGCCCAGAGUCUACAUGGAAUCCCAAACAGCCCUCGUUUCUUCCUCCCCAACCACAGGCCGCCUGCCUGCCUCCCUGGCCUUGUUUAAACAAGAUGAGAGCAGGCUGUGUUUGGACUAGCAGGCUGGUGGCCUUUCCCCAGUGCUGGAGAGCAGGUCAGCGUCACUGCUCAGCCUGAAUGUGAAGUGUGCUCCUGCAUUUGGGUCGUCCUGACUUGUAGAAACUGGGGACUGUAGGAGUUUCAUCAUCUCAGAAGUCUGCUGCCAAAGGUCAGAAAGAUGGAGUGGAAAGCCAGGCUGGUUUGAUUGCAGAGACUCUGCCAUGCCUGCGUUCCGUGCCACCUCUACCAGAGUGGCAAGAGAUGACCACGGAGUAUAGCCCAGCUCUGAAGAAGUCACCUCCUUACUCUGGGCUUGCAGUAUGAGUUGAAAUUAUUGACCUCCAAAGAUCCUUCUAAUGUAACCUGCUGUGACUUGAAGUUGAUGAUCUCGGGGGAAGGGAGAGCGCCUUCCUAGCGGAGAAAUUUGCCUCCUUCCUUGUCCAAGAGAAGGCUGUUUGCAGAUGGAGGAGGAUUGCGUUCCAGGAGAAGCAAAUGAAGAGCCUGGGCUCUCAUCCAGCCCAGGGAAGAAAGAUGGACAGACUACCUGGGGUGAAAGAUGCAUCAGAAAGCAGAAUGCCUGCUCUCAAACUGACUGAGGGACGCCAGUCUGCCAAGGUCAGCGAAGGAAGUAGGACUGAAGAAACCUUUUCCAAAGAAUCUGAGCUGAAAAUGCUGUCAGAGCUUGGAAAUCUGCCAUCCUAACUUCCUCUUCCCACUUCAUCCACUGCCCUCCUCUGGUCCACUACGUGAGACAUGGGCUUUUUGCUCAGAGCAAGCUGCAGAGGGAGGGUCAUCUAUCUAGCGAGGGCAGUGCUGUGGCACCACACCCCGAAGCCGGGGCCAGGGCACACCAGCUUCAGCCAGAAAGCACCCCAGGCUAGUCACCCACACAGGCUCUCCCCAUGUACAUCGGGAUUCAACUGGCUUCGUUUUGUGGCUUUUCUCUGAAAGCCCUCUUUUCCUUCCAGACUUGGAAACAAUUGCAGUAGUUGGGCUAGUUACUUUGGAAUGAGACGGGGCUGUUCUUGGGUGUCUGAGAACCUCUGGAGCUGCUUUUCUUCUUGCCAAUUCAAUUGUCCUGCAGUGCCCCUGUGAAGGAGAUAGGGCAGCUGAGCAGCUGUCCCUGCCCAAUAGUCAGUACCCUUCCCAAUUCUAGCCUUUUCCUGUCAGAAUUCUCCUCCUCCAAGAAGCCCUCUGAGAUUGGAUCCAGCAGCAGUUUCUUCUUGUCCUUCCCCCUCUCCACAGAAUUUACAAGGUUCACAUACUGCUAAUUAUGUUCUCAUUUACAUUUUUCUGAGGUUGGUGCUGUGUCUCAGGUUUCUACUUUUUGGUUUUCCUUCUCUAAUUUGUAUAUUCCAUUAGACUGGGAGUCCUUUAAGAAGAAAAAACCUCAAGUGUCCUUAUCCCCCUCAGUCCCAAGUUUUGCAGUAUCCAGUCUGGGCUUCGCAGGGGGCUAUGCUGCCUCCAUGCAACAGAUUCACUUUGCCUUGAAGUCUCCAGUAUUGCAGCUAUGAGAGGGAUGGUGGGGAAAUCUCUGGUCUUCAGAGACCCUGGACGGCCAUAAGGAGGACAGCAGAACAGAGCCGGUCCCCCAAAGGACAAAAUGUCUAUUUUUGCACCUGAAAAUGAGCUAUGGGACCCCUGCUGGGGAAUAGCCUCCCAACACUGGGCUCUGGGGAGAAGCUGCGUCCGAAGGCCCAGGAAGAGGUGCAAAGAGGGAGAGAUUUUGCUUUGGCUGAGAGGGCCUCCGGGACUCCCAGAGGAAUCCCAGGCCUCAUAUAUAUUUAUGUGAACUUAAGAUGCUAAUGAACGUUGUGGAGCCAAGAGCCCUGCUGGGCUCCGUGAGCAAUCGGCCCCACUCUUAACACAGUCUUCUUUGUCUGCAGGGCUUUAGGUUCAAAUUGCAGAUCUGGCUUUGGAAGUGCAGCUGACAUGGAAACCUGCCCGGGCCUAUAGCUGAAUCACAGUGGGCUCUGGGAGACAGCGGAGCUUCCCACCCUGUUUCCUCGGACAAUACACUGAAGCCAAGGGCUGGCUGACGUCACCUUGUCCACCUUCCAGUCUCCAAGGAGGACAGUGUCCAACUCCUUUUACAGUCGGAGGUUUUUACCCUAUUCUGAAGGCAUCUCCACUAAUAAUGUAUGAGAAUUCCUGGAAGGAUGUUCUGAAAGGGCUACAGUCUUCCCCUUCACUGUUUUGAUGACACCUUUCCAGGGACAUGUCACCCCUUGCACAUGUGGGUACCAACCAGGAGCUUCCCUCUCCUCUUUAUCAUUUCCCCAAAGUCAAACCUCUCUUUUCCCAGGCUUCCCCAGAAUAAUGAUCCGUAAGAGCAGAUAUAGUUUGCUUUAACCUCUUAGAAAGAACUCAUUUCUGGGACAGGAUGGUAGGACUAGGAUCCUCCUAGAGUGGGCCACGUGUCACUCAGGCUGGGAAGAUCAGUGCUGGCAUUCGUCAGAGCAGGAGCAACUGUCCAUGAUCCAGGACCGCUUUUCCUAAGGCUCGUGCCACCUCAUAGCCUGGAUUUCUGAGAGAGACCCUGGUUGUGUCCUGUUAUUCCUCAAGUAUUCUCGUGCUAGUCAGACCACAAACUUGCUUAUAUCUGUAAAGGACAGUCUUCCAUGAACGUAUGCACGGGCACACGUAGAUAUGGGCUGACACGUCUGUUUGUGCAUGCCAGAUGGAAGUCUGUGCCUAAUAACCACAAGGGAAUGAUUGCACAGUGCCUGGCUCAUUACAAACAUUUUAAUGCGUAUGAUCUCAUCUUGGUGUGGCUAGGGAAAACAGCACAGGCUUUGCAACAAGAUAUAUACAGUACUAGGUUGUGACUUUGGCCAAGUUUUGAAUCUCUAAGAGCCUUACUUUUCUGCUUUGCAAAAUGGAAGUUAGUAUCCUCAUUUUGCAGAUAAGGAAACUGAGGCUCAGGGCAAGCGACUUACCUAAGGUCACAUAGCUGACAGAAUAGGGAGGUAUCCAGGGCUCCCCUGUCCAUCAGAUUUUUUUUUAAAUUCCAGUGCUGGGAGUCUAAACUUCUAUGAACCUGGAGCUUUCCCCCUGAUGGAGAGGCCAGGACUUGUCCUUCAGAGUCAGUUCUUCCUACACUUACUUAAAUGCUGUAUCUACUAUAAUAUGCUUCCUCAUAUUUCCCUCCAAAUUUAGUUCUUUGGAAAUAGGAGGGAGUUUGAGAACAAUUUUUUUUGCAUACUAUGCAUAAUAGGAAGUUCCAACUGUGUUCUCCUUUCCUAUUCAGGGAAGCAAGAUGGUUAAGAGGAAGGGAUGACACAAGCAAAGAUUGUCUGGACUUAAAUCACAUGCUGAAUCUGGCUCCUUUUCCAGCUGGACUCUAAAGCGCUAUCUCCUGAAAUGUAAGAUUUCACAUCUAGGCCUGACAUUGGGUCUCUUUGAGCUGAUUUGUUAAGCAUUGAAAAAAUAAAUAACAAUGCCUCCCACUUGCUUCCUCCUUCUGAAGAUGUGUCUGGUCUCUGGGGAGACUUUGUACUGGAUGACCUUGCUGGCCUGUCCCUCUUCUCAAGAAGGCCCUUCUGUCCAGAGGCAGCAUUCUAAGG